rnacentral:rRNA from 1 species
GGCCUACGGGGGGCAGCAGUGAGGAAUAUUGGUCAAUGGGCUUACGCCUGAACCAGCCAAGUCGCGUGAGGGAAGACUGCCCUAUGGGCUGUAAACCUCUUUUGUCAGGGAGCAACGCCGGCUACGUGUAGCCGGACUGAGAGUACCUGAAGAAAAAGCAUCGGCUAACUACGUGCCAGCAGCCGCGGUAAUACGUAGGGGGCAAGCGUUAUCCGGAUUUACUGGGUGUAAAGGGAGCGUAGACGGCCAGACAAGUCUGAAGUGAAAAUCCAGCGCUUAACGUUGGAAGUGCUUUGGAAACUGCC